rnacentral:rRNA from 1 species
GAUGAACGCUGGCGGUAUGCUUAACACAUGCAAGUCGAACGGACACAUCGGAGAGAGUGGCGGACGGGUGAGGAACGCGGGAGAAUCUGGCUAUGGGUUCGGGACAACCACAGGAAAGGGUGGCUAAUACGGGAAGGGUAGAGAGGAAAGAGUGAAAUUGCAUGAAGAUGUGCUCGCGUCUGAGUAGCUAGUUGGUGAGGUAAAGGCCCACCAAGGCAGCGAUCAGGAGCUGGUCUGAGAGGAUGACCAGCCACACCUGGACUGGGACACGGCCGAGACUACUACGGGAGGCUGCAGUGAGGACUUUUCCGCAAUGGGCGAGUGCCUGACGGAGCACUUCCGCGUGAGAAAAGAUUGCUCUUGGGUUGUAGACCUCUUUUCUUAGAGAAGAACAAAUUGACGGUACCUAAAGAAGCAGCAUCGGCUAACUCCGUG